rnacentral:tRNA from 1 species
GGUUAGGUAGCUCAGUUGGUAGAGCAAAGGACUGAAAAUCCUUGUGUCGGGGGUUCAAUUCCCUCUCUAACCA